UUUUUUUUUUUUUUUUUGCUAUUUCUUGGGCCGCUCCCACGGCAUAUGGAGGUUCCCAGGCUAGGGGUCGAAUUGGAGCUGUAGCUGCCAACCUAUGCCAGAGCCACAGCAACGCUAGAUCCAAGCUGCAUCUGCGACCUACACCACAGCCCACAGCAACUCCGGAUCCUUAACCCACUGAGCAAGGCCAAGGAUCGAACCCGAAACCUCGUGGUUCCUAAUCAGAUUCAUUAACCCCUGAGUUACGACGGGAACUCCAGGGACCAUACAGAUUUGAAUAACAAGAAGUACUUCUACUAUUCAGUAGCUAUUGGUGGUGAACAAGAUACACACGGCCUUAUACCUCCCGAGCUUACUGUCCAACAGAGAAGAAAAACAUUAAUUAGUAAUGCUGCACUGAAUGCCGCCAAGAAAGGAGAGUUCAGAGUGACAGGGGAACAAAGAGAAAAGAGCAAGUAAAAUAAAAAUCACAGGCAUCUCCAGAGCAUUGCAAAGGACAAAAAAAGGUGCACACCACCCCGUUAUCCUAAGGACUAAGUGGUAGUGCACCGCAAGGGGAGUUAAGGAUGGAAAAAAAAGGAAGCGUUCUGAGCUUAGGAUAGACAGAUCCCUAGACAGUUAAGAUGUGUACUGAAAACCCAAGGACGAAUUUCAGUGAACCCAGAUUCCUGCAUCUUCUCAGAUGCAGCAAAGAACUAAAAUCAUUAACUGGAGAGGUCUGUUCUUUGUGAUCAGCAGUCAUUUUUCUAUGCUUGAUCACAUGUUUUUCCCAGGCAAAAAAUCUCAUGCAUAUCCCGGCUCCUUUCCUGCCUUUUUUGGAAGAGUCCCCUCAGAGCCACUGAGAGACUACUUCCUGGCCUAGAGUUCUCAGUAAGGUCCCUGAAUAAAACUUUUAACUCACAACCUUGACACUGCGAGUUAUUCUUUCAGUGACAGUGAAACCGAGGACAUAGAAGAGGGGGGAGCCCUUCUGAGGACAUAAGCCUUUCUGUAUCCCUUUCUUUGUCUGUAGGAAGAAGGCUUCAGCUUCCUAGACCUUCCGAGACCUUCCCUGAAUCCCAAAGGGCAGACUCAUGCAGUUAUUAAGGGAGGAAUGCAGAAAUAAAGGAAAAGCAGUCAAGAAAGAUAGCUCAACAGUAAAACAGAGUUCCUGCUCAAGGGGUAUACCAAACAAUCUGGAUCUUUAAGUUCUUCUACAGGAACGAAGGCCCCCACCCAGGCGGAGGAUGGUCAUACCUACAGGCGCAGACCCAGGACUAGUUUCAACCAGAAGGCUGAUGACUGAGAUUCCUGGAACAGCUCCCCUGUUUCCUCACCACCACCCUAUCAGAAGAAAGUCACACACCCUGCAGCCAUCAACCCAAAUGCUGCCUUUAAAACUUCUCAAAACCAUCAGGAGUUCAGGUCUUUGGGGCACAAGCCACCCAUUCUCCUUACUGUAAGCAGACAGUGUAAGAGGAGAAAGAGAAGCAGGCAUUUCUUGACAAAGAAGCCAUUUUUGGCCCGAGCCUUUUUGUUGUGAUCUAAGCCUGGCCACAGGCAGUUCCCACUAUGGUGCAGUGGGUUAAGAAUCCGACUGUAGUGGCUUGGGUUGCUGUAGAGGCACAGGGUUGGUUGUAGGUCACAGCGGUGGACAGGAUUCAACCCCUGGAUUGAUAUGCCACCGGAGUGGCCAUAAAACAAAGAGGCGUUCCAGUCGUGGCUCAGUGGUUAACAAACCCGACCAAUACCCAUGAGGACGCAGGUUCCCUCACGUGGCCUUGCUCAGUUGGUUAAGGAUCCAGCAUUGCCGAGAGCUGUGAUGUAGGUUGCAGACGUGACUUCGAUCCCGAGUUGCUGUGGCUGUGGUGUAGGCCGGCAGCUGUAGCUCAGAUUCGACGCCUAACCUGGGAACCUCCGUGUGCCCAUACGUGCUGCCCAUACGUGCAGCCCUAAAAAGACAAAGGAGUCAAGGCCUGGCUACCAUGCUUGCCCUUGAAGAGAUCUCAGGAAUUAAUGAUCUUAACAGAAGUGAGGGAAUACAGAAACAAAGGAAAAGGAGUCAAGCAACACCAGCUCAGCCAUAAAAUGGUCCUAGUUCUUUCUCAAGCAUAUAUGUAAUACUGCUGAGAAUUGCAGGAACUAAAGCCUCCAUCCAGGUGGAGAAUGGAAUGAUGAUGUUAACCCUUGUGACUUCAAGCAAGGAAAGCUUCGCCUCUGUUGGUCUUUGCCCCAAUUCUAUGCUAAAUGCUCUGCUCUAGCCCCUUCACGAAUAUGCAUAUACCCUUGGCUUAAAUGUCCCCUGUUUUGCUGUCGGGAGGACACUGCCUUUGGAAAAGAUCCUCACGUGCUCCAAGGAAUACAUCCUUCCUUCUCCUGCUCUUUGCCUGGGUUGUGUCUUUUUGGCUGGAGACCCAUCAUGAGCUGAACCUAUUUUUUCAGGUGACAAUUGGGCGGGGCCCUUGCAAUAAACCUUUCUCCACUCCUAAGUCUCACGUUUUCCCUUGUCUGGCCUUAGAGUAGUACAUCAGGCACGUUCAACCACAACAGCACGAAGGUAUUUCUUAAUGCUAGUGACAUAAAAUGCACAUUUUAUGGCAAGAUUGAAACACAGAAUUUUUCUUUGCCUGUUUUGACCUCCUCCCUCCCCUUUAGCAUGUAUUGUGCAUCUGCAUUAACCAGAUCUCCUUAGGAGAUAACCUUCCUUCUUAAUCUUGUAAGGGACCCGAUGACCCACUAUUUGCUUUGGAAGUGUACAUUGAAUGACAGAUUAUCAACCGUUUACACACUCCAUGUACAGCCCUCUGCCUCCAAAUCUUAUCUCACUGUCUUUGUCCUCUCACAGGCAGAACAGUUCUCAGCACUUUCCGAGAGGUUGCUCCCAGGUUAUAAUCCUCAACUUGGCUCAAAGAGUUUCCCAUUUCUUUCUUAGAAGGAUUUGUUAGUUCUUCUCGUCACCCAUGCCUUUGUCCUCUUUCUCUGAGGAAUUAAAGUUGAUCAAAGCUGCUGCCACUUGGAAACAAAGAAAAACUUUGUGGACACCAUUAAGAUUCUCCAGCCUCUUCUUUGCAGGUAUCCAAGUACUGAAGGAAAUAAAGAGUGACUGCUUGCUUAUUACUGUCAACCCCCUUGUAAGAGGGAAUUACUCGAAAAUGCAGGAUAAGACUACUCCACCCCCGGCCGCCUUCCAAGUUCUUUAUUAUAGGAAAUGGGCACUAAUUAGAACUUCAGAAGGUGAGCACAAUAAACCUGUUAAAAAAUGUCUCAUCUCAGUAAACUGAAAAGGAGAUUGAAGGUUAGACCUUCUAAUUUGCUUAUCUUCUCAAUCUCAUCUCACCCAGCCCAUGGACUAUGACGGUCUCAGCACCAUAACAGAAGGAAGGAGGCCGGCAGGUAACAAGAAAAGCAGGGUGCUUAGAUCAUCUAUCAGAGAAUCUCGUUUUUAAAAGAAGCAGCUGCAGGAGACAAUCUCUAAGAUUCUAAGACGGGGGAACCCACCAUCAGUAGGCAAAGACCCUACGGUGGGAACACGGUGAAGGCACACACGGGUGAUCAGAGGUGAGGCUAGAGAAACAAACAGGGUCUAGUUCAUGACAGGUCUCGAAGUCAUUUUACAGAACUUUUCAUUUUAUCCUAAGGGCAACUGGAAACUGAUGAUGUUUUAAGCACAAGGUUUAUAAACAUAUUCAGAUUUGCACCUUGGAAAGAAAAUGCUUCUAAACAAGCUUCCAAAUAGGUUACUUUGGACUGGGUCUUUUGGGGGGGGGGGACGGGACUGAGUCUUAAGAUGAGAAAAAAACUGGCUGGGUAAUAGAUAAAGUAAACAAGCUUCCAAACAGGUUACUUUGGACUGGGUCUUUUGGGGGGGGGGGACGGGACUGAGUCUUAAGAUGAGAAAAAAACUGGCUGGGUAAUAGAUAAAGUAAUCUUUUCAAAGGCACAGAGGCAUGAAAAAAAUAAAAGGAGGAUGAGAGAAAGAAAAACAGAGUGAAAAUGUAUACUCAUGGCGAUGCAGGCAGAACGGAGGGCUCAGAGAGCAUGGAAGCUCCAAGCCCUCUCCCCAUACCUUGCCCUGUGCAGCUCUUCCACCUGGCUUGAUUAAAAUAAUUUUUUUAAAUAUCAUUUUUAAUAUAUUGACUCCACAGGACAUAUUGCUGAUCCAUGAAUUACUUGUUUCCUUCUCUGAUUCACCUCCUAGCUUUGCACAGAAAAUCUUUUAAUCUCACAGUGCCAUGGAACCAGAAACCUGACCUUUCUGGGUAAAGCAGGGAACACAAUAGAAUAGAGAACACACUG
ensembl:lncRNA